CGAACGCUGGCGGCGUGCCUAAUACAUGCAAGUCGUGCGGACCUUUUAAAAGCUUGCUUUUAAAAGGUUAGCGGCGGACGGGUGAGUAACACGUGGGCAACCUGCCUGUAAGAUCGGGAUAACGCCGGGAAACCGGGGCUAAUACCGGAUAGUUUUUUCCUCCGCAUGGAGGAAAAAGGAAAGACGGCUUUGGCUGUCACUUACAGAUGGGCCCGCGGCGCAUUAGCUAGUUGGUGGGGUAACGGCUCACCAAGGCAACGAUGCGUAGCCGACCUGAGAGGGUGAUCGGCCACAUUGGGACUGAGACACGGCCCAAACUCCUACGGGAGGCAGCAGUAGGGAAUCUUCCGCAAUGGACGAAAGUCUGACGGAGCAACGCCGCGUGAGUGAAGAAGGCCUUCGGGUCGUAAAACUCUGUUGCCGGGGAAGAACAAGUGCCGUUCGAACAGGGCGGCGCCUUGACGGUACCCGGCCAGAAAGCCACGGCUAACUACGUGCCAGCAGCCGCGGUAAUACGUAGGUGGCAAGCGUUGUCCGGAAUUAUUGGGCGUAAAGCGCGCGCAGGCGGCUUCUUAAGUCUGAUGUGAAAUCUUGCGGCUCAACCGCAAGCGGUCAUUGGAAACUGGGAGGCUUGAGUGCAGAAGAGGAGAGUGGAAUUCCACGUGUAGCGGUGAAAUGCGUAGAGAUGUGGAGGAACACCAGUGGCGAAGGCGGCUCUCUGGUCUGUAACUGACGCUGAGGCGCGAAAGCGUGGGGAGCAAACAGGAUUAGAUACCCUGGUAGUCCACGCCGUAAACGAUGUGUUCUAAGUGUUAGAGGGUUUCCGCCCUUUAGUGCUGCAGC
rnacentral:rRNA from 2 species